rnacentral:rRNA from 1 species
CCAUCGGCUCAACCCUGGGAGGGUUCAAUUCGAUAACCUGGAACCUUGGAGUACAGUAGAGGAAAGUGGGAAUUACCUUCCGUAAGCGGGUGCAAAUGACGCAGAGAUAUGGUAGGAACACCAGUGGGCGAAGGGCGACUAUCCUGGUCUGUCAUCUGACGCUGAUGUGCGAAAGCGUGCGGGAGCAAACAAGACUUAGAUACCCUGGUAGUUCACGCCGUAAACGAUGAGUGCUAAGUGUUAGGGGGGUUUCCGCCCCGUUAGUGCUGCAGCUAACGCAUUAAGCACUCCGCCUGGGGAGUACGACCGCAAGGUUGAAACUCAAAGGAAUUGACGGGGAGCCGCACCACCGGUGGAGCAUGUGGUUUAAUUCGAAGCAACGCGAAGAACCUUACCAAAUCUUGACAUCCUUGAAAACUCUAGAGAUAGAGCCUUCCCCUUCGGGGGACAAAGUGACAGGUGGUGCAUGGUCGUUGUCAGCUCGUGUCGUGAGAUGUUGGGUUAAGUCCCGCAACGAGCGCAACCCUUAAACUUAGUUGCCAGCAUUUAGUUGGGCACUCUAGGUUGACUGCCGGUGACAAACCGGAGGAAGGUGGGGAUGACGUCAAAUCAUCAUGCCCCUUAUGAUUUGGGCUACACACGUGCUACAAUGGACAAUACAAAGGGCAGCUAAACCGCGAGGUCAUGCAAAUCCCAUAAAGUUGUUCUCAGUUCGGAUUGUAGUCUGCAACUCGACUACAUGAAGCGGGAAUCGCUAGUAAUCGUAGAUCAGCAUGCUACGGUGAAUACGUUCCCGGGUCUUGUACACACCGCCCGUCACACCACGAGAGUUUGUAACACCCGAAGCCGGUGGAGUAACCAUCUAUGAGCUAGCCGUCGAAGGUGGAUCAACUCCA